UCGAUUAUUCGUGACAGGCAUAAGAGGAGUAUAUUCCUAUUCGGAGUCAUUUGUUUUAAAUGAUGUUUGGUAAGGAAUAGGUUAGCACCAUCUUCUCAAUUUUGUUGUCCAGAUCAUAAUCUUCUUGUGUCAUUUCAAGAAGUUUACCAUGUGUACAGCCAUCAUGCACAAGGAACAUUCUUCAACCUUUCCGAUUCUUCAUCUUUUUCGAAUAUUUUGUCACCCAAAAUGUCUUUGGCCCAUACUUCACACUCGCUCUAAGUUUCCAACCACAUCCUUGAACACGACACUUAGCCACAUACAGAGUUUUUGUUGUCUUAUAUGCUGAAAAUGUAAAAUUAUAUUCCACAGUCACCGACUUCAGCUUUGAAACAAGCUCAGCCUUACUAGCAAAACUAUAAACGAAGACUUAGAAAUACGUCUACAAUUAUUAGCUAACAACAUUGUCAAAUCAAAUGAAUUAUACCUUCAUAAUUAUAAAAAAAAAAUUAUUUUCAAAAUCACUCAAACCCAUUAAAAUUAACUAACACACUGUCAAACAAAAAAACUAGAAAAAAAUUAAUGAAUAAUACACAAAUUCACAUUUUUAUAGAUUUUUCUAUGAAGACUUAAUAUUUAGUCUCUGAAGAUGUUGACGUUCUUUUCAGUUUACAGACGUAGACUGUCAAAUAGGUCUACUCUUUGGGUUGGUUUUUGCAAUUGACCAUUUUACGGGUUGCUUUCUAUAGUUGAAUAAAAGUUGUAAUUUUGUACAUGUAGACUUUCAUUUCAGUCUACAAUUUAAAAAGGUUACUUUUUGCAAUUGACCAGAAUUCAUCCAAGAUUUGACUUUCAGAACUAGACUUCAUAUGCAGUCUACAUGUUUGAAUUUUUUUGAAAGAGGUUAGUUUUGCAAUUGACCAAGUUUGACUUCAAAUCAGUAGAUUAAAAUGAACGUCUACGGGUGUGUAGACUUCUUGUGAACUUUACUCUCAAAUCCGACGGGUUGGUUUUGCAUUUGACCAAAAUAAAAAAGUAGACUUUAUACGCAGUCUACAUUUUUUUUUAAGAUAAGAAGACUGCAUAUGAAGUCUACAAUUUAAUAAAUUUUUGAUUGCUUUUUAAACUUUUUGGUCAAACACAAAACUAACCUAUUCCACGAAGUCAAAGUUUUGGUCAAAUGCAAAACUGACCUUUUAUAGACUUUGUUGGCAGUCUACAUUUUGUAGACUUCCGUUGAAGUCUAUUUUGAAAAGUCAAAAGUUCGGUCAAAU
rnacentral:lncRNA from 1 species